UUCUUCACGAAGCUUGCGGAGACCAUUUGCAGUGACCGCCAGGGUCGACCCCCGCCCUAAAAGUGUGAGGAAAAGUGUGAGUCGUGUUGCUGGGCUCCGUGCUCUUCCCAGAUGCAGACUAUGGAUGUAUUUUCCAGAGAUUCUUCUAAUUUCGAGGAACAAAUGAAUGUAAUUAAAAGAGAAGACAUUUUCAACGGUUGGUGAGACUGUACUUGUCUCUUGCUCUUGCCAUCCCAGUUGAACAGAGCAAUAUUCCUUUCUUGAAACUCAACUGAUCUGUGUGCUGUAUGACACUCUGGCACAAGCAGGCGACCGUGCUGCAGCGCUGACCUGAUAGUUCUGAACAGAGACAGAGCAUCCAGUUAGCCCCAGCUUGUGCUCAUUACAAGCUCAUGCCUUCAGCUAACAUAUACAAUAGCAUAAAGGCCACUGAGGAGGACACAAGAGGAAACAGUUAAAGCAUUCCUGUACCGGCCUUUGAACUUUGAACGUGUCUGCCAGGCUGGUUCCCAGGAGUCUGACAGCAGACGCUCAGCGAUCAGCCUCUGUCCUCCUCUGCGUGCCAGAACAGCUGGGUGGUCUGGAGAAGAUCUAAAGGCUUCAGCCUGGCUUCUGAGCAGCUGUGGGCAGGGGAGAGGGACAGGAGGGUUAUCCAGGAUGGUCUUCUGGAAGUGAGACUGAAUUUCCCUGCCCUGAAGAUACCAUCUUCUCUGAAUUUUUUUGACUAGGGUGCUAGGAGAAAUACACAGUCCUAACUUGAGUACAGAGCCUGAUGCUCUUAUUGUGCUCCAUUUUGAGUACAAAUACCAGUGAUUCAGAGUGCUGUGCUGCUCAGCCUGGAAAUCAGGACCUCGUGUUCAAUGAUAAUUAAAUGCAGGCUUUUCCUCUUUCGUAUAUAUCUUAACUUUACAACUUUUGUUUCUCAGGAAAACGGAAUGUCUUUGUCUCUCCUAGCUUCAUGUAAUGUAUUUCUGCAUUUUUUUGGUUGUUUUAAAUAUCAAAUGCAUUUUAAAAGACUUCUAUUUAGAUGUUUUGUGAUUUUGGGGGGGAUUUUGUAAAUAGUAAACUGUUUUUAAACAACCUGUAUAUUCUAUAUAUAGCCAUUAUAUAAGCCAUUAUAUCACAUUCAUAAGAAAGACUAAAAAUAAUUAGAUCUUACAUUUAUAAUCAUAUUCUUAAUAUACUUAUGUAGUGAUUUUUAAUCUUCUCAUUUUUAGAGCUGAGGACUACAAAUGUAUUUUUUCUUAACGUAGUCAAGGGAGGAUUUGGAUACAAGCUGUGAAAAUAAGGACUUACAACAGCGAGAAAUAGCUGCUUUCUUUGUAAGUAUUGAUUGGGUAGAUGGGAACUAAAACAUUAUGGAAACAGUCACAUUUUUCAAACUACUAUUCAAAUUAUUCGUAUUGUCAACAUCAAAACUGUUCGUGUUUUGGCUGGUGAUUUAGCUAUAUGUGGCAGAAAGGCAUAGAAAGAAAACGUAUAGCAGACUGUUAACAUUUUCACUGCUCAUUAAAGAUUUCAAGAAUAAAAAAAGCCCUAAAAAUAUAACCAGUUACCCUUUACUCCUAAAAUGACCAAAUGUGGGAGAAAAUGUUCCCACAAUGGAAGCGGCUCUUACACGCUGAAUAGCAGCUGCUAAGGGCAUAUCUGGACAACUUUUGUGCAAACGCUGCACUGAACAAAAUGUGGAAUUUAAGCUGUGGUUAAGUGCAGAUAAAGGUCAGAGGUCACGAUCUCCCGAAACCAUCAUUUGCAAUAUUUCUGACUUCCUUUAUGCAGAGGAGGAAUGUGCACUGCCAGAAGUAGAGGAAUCGGGGCAACAUAAGGUUUUCUUGGCAACCAUUAGAUAUUUACUGCUGCUAACAAAGACCAGCAUACAAACGCGUUUGAAAUUCGGGCACAGACAACUGCUGGAAAAGACUCACAGCGUGGCGUUUGUCUUGCAUCAGCUGGCUGUUAGGAAAAGCGUAUAAUCAGUCAUUUUUAUGUAGGAAGUUUAUCUUUUGUUACUGGAGCUGCUUUUGCUAACAGUUCGUUCUCCGAAUGUGUAAACUACCUUUUUAGUUAUAAUCAUUUACCAAUGUGAAUAACUACAGAAAAGAUGGUUCAUGCAUAGUAAGAGGCCUGCCCCGUUUGCUUCUAUCGUAAAAUGUGUGUAAACGUUCUUGCCCACAUUGGUGGGGAAACGGAGUAGCGCCUACCGCAGCAUAUUUUUCAUCUCAUCUAUUAAAAAAAUGAACGUAUGCAUUAUGUUUUGCAUGGGGUGCUUUUUAGUUUAUUUUGUUCAUCUAUCCUGUAAUGAAUCACGGAAAUGUGCUCUGGAUUUGGCCUGUGCAGCUGUCACAGACAUCCUGUCGUUCUCUUCACGUUCUAAUAAAAACUGACACGGCAGGUCGUAUUUGAUAGUGCAACGAUUGCUGAUACGUUGGGACUGGUCCUGCAAACUUCACUCAAAUGGAUGGAUGCUGCUGACGCCCUCUAAAUUACAGCCUGUGACAUUCAUAGUUAGAGCUCCAGCUUGAUUAUUGAGCAGUUGCCUUUAUGUGCUGCGAGGAUCGCUCACAAACCUUAAAGGGAAGACAUUCCUCAUUUAAGCUGUUUCUGCACAAAUGUGGUUUAGUACAAGGAGAGUCGAUUAUACCCUCUUUUCUCAUCGACAUUAUGGCAAGUUAGUAUUCCGUUUCACGUUUUCCUUUGGAGGAAGCUCCCCGCGUCUGCACCAUAAUGGGUUUCGACAUGAAUCAAUAUCGGCAAAAAGAAAGAUCAGUCUAAUACUUCAGAAGUUCAAUUUUAUGCCAGUGGAGCUUUUCUGGUUUCAAUGCAACUAUACAAGAAAAGAAUUACAGAAUGUAAAACUGCUUUAGCAAAUCAGAAAUUCACUCCCCUGUGCUGAAUUUUCCGUUGAGGACAGUCUCAAGAUUGGGUGGGUGAGCAAUGAAUGCUGUCAACAUACUUUUGCCUCGGAACAAGUUGGAGGAGCCGUUCACAGUAGCCGGUGUGGUUCAGCUGGUUUACCAGCUCUCAUUUUUACCUGACGUGACGCUCAUAGUUCACAGCAUCAUUCUCCCAGAUAUUAAACCUCGCUUCUGGAUCAUGCCCUCUCUGGGAUUAACUUCUGCCCGCAUCAAGAUCUCCUUGAAAUGUCUGUGACCGAAGAACUAACAAAAUUAAUAUUUAUACUGAAUGCUCAAUAUGGUCAGAACUGGUAUUCAGAAGGUAAGGGUUUCACCUUGGGCUUAACCUUGGAAAAUCCUUUGACAACCUAGACUUGAGUUUCAUUACUGAUAUACAGCGAGAAGUGUUCCUAUUUGUUGUGUGAAAAUUCACAAUCUAUUUCCUUAAGCACAGCCCCGUUCUGUGAUCAUUUUCUUACGUGGUUUUAGUGUUUUUUCCCCCCCUCAAUUUUGUCUUUCAGCAUAUGUAACCCCUCUGCACGCUGUGAAUCACAGUUUGUUUCAUUAGUGAGAGGAGACUACAGCCUGCUCCUCUUAACAGCUUUGAGACUGAAUAUAAAAGUAAUCUUAAAAAGUGAAGACUCUUCACUAGUGAAAUUUCUUGCAGCACUAAUGUGAAUUUACAAUGAGCUAAUUCCAAGGCCUGUCUUACUUUGCUAAAUAUUUAUGCAUUAAGAACAAGAAUUUAAAAAGUUUUUUGCACCUUUCUAGAGCAAAGAGACUUAAGAGCAAAAACAAUAUGGCUGCCUAGGAGAAAAUAUUAUCAAGAGCCAAGUUUUUGUUUGGUCAAUACGUAUUUACAUUUUGAAUCUAAAAAACAGGAAACCCCCCAAAAGUUUUGGCCCAGUUUGUGCAAACAUACCAUGGAUCGGAAAUUUGCUAUUUCUGUAGAACAGAUUUUUCUUCCUAUUUAAUAGCACUGUGAUAAUAUUACCUUUCCAUUGUCAAACAUAGAAAAUGCAGUGUAUCCAGCUGAUUACUUACCAUCAGCUGAGGAGAAAGCUAAUUCAUGAGUAUCAUUGCAUUUAACCUGCUUACUCCCCUUUCUGAGAUCACUUGUUGCUGCACAGGUUCCCAUAAGAUUUUGAAAGAGCCAAGGCAAAUCUUAGCACUGAAUGAAUGGAUGGAUGACUUUCUACAGCAAUUUGUAGUCAGAACGUGUUGAAUAUUCAUUUGGACUUGGCUCCUGGUUAUGCUAUGAGCAAAACAAGUAUCUGGGGGGGGGGGUAAUCACAGUUCACCAAAACGUCUGCACAACAUAGUAUAAACGCAUUUGCUCAUGCCCAGCCCUAAAAUUCACCUGAGUGGCUGAAAAUGUUUUUCCAAGACUUUCAUUUCUCAACCUGUCUGGCAGAGAGCUCAUGCUUUCCAACAUGAAGAACUGAGUUGUAUCCGAUCACCAAAGGUCUGCCUCUCUUAUGUGUAUAUGAUCUUACAUGUAUGAGAGCAGAAAAGUCAGCUGUUUUGGUUGAUCAUUUUCUUGUGAUGUUCAUACUAGUUGGGCAAAGUAAGUAUUACAAAAAAAAAAAAAAAGGAUGCCAUUUCUAUGUGGUAGGAUAUUCCUUUACCAUUUGCUGAUGUAAAGGAUUGCAGGAGGUCUAAGACAAUAGAGAAAAUGCAUACGACUAGGAGCAGCGUGCAGCAAGGAGGUGUUUUAGUUGGUUUGUUAUGCUGUCGCUGAAAGCGGCAAAGGCCGAUGCCUCAAAGCGCAACCGAAUGGAAACAACAGGCUGUUACCAGGGUUCUUACAAUUACAUGCUGACCCGUUGGUGA